GACAGAGGGUGCAAACGUUGUUCGGAAUUACUGGGCGUAAAGCGUGUGUAGGCGGUCUGCUAAGUCGGGUGUGAAAGCCCUGGGCUCAACCCAGGAAGUGCGUCCGAUACUGGUUGGCUUGAAUCCGGGAGAGGGAUGUGGAAUUCCAGGUGUAGCGGUGAAAUGCGUAGAUAUCUGGAGGAACACCGGUGGCGAAGGCGACAUCCUGGACCGGUAUUGACGCUGAGGCGCGAAAGCCAGGGGAGCAAACGGG
rnacentral:rRNA from 1 species